ACUAUCGGUGGUUCAUUGGUGGAAUGCUCGCCUGCCACGCGGGCGGCCCGGGUUCGAUACCCCGCCGAUGCA
rnacentral:tRNA from 1 species